UACGUAGGGUGCGAGCGUUGUCCGGAAUUACUGGGCGUAAAGAGCUCGUAGGUGGUUUGUCGCGUUGUCCGUGAAAACUCACAACUCAAUUGUGGGCGUGCGGGCGAUACGGGCAUCACUGGAGUUCGGCAGGGGAGACUGGAAUUCCUGGUGUAGCGGUGAAAUGCGCAGAUAUCAGGAGGAACACCCGUGGCGAAAGCGGCGCGCUGGGCCGAUACUGACACUGAGGAGCGAAAGCGUGGGGAGCGAACAGG
rnacentral:rRNA from 1 species